ACCUCACUGUCAUUGAUUCGCACAAUUGUUUUGUCCAUACGGCGCCGUGUCCCUUCUCUCUCUCCUGGAAACGCUCACAGGCCUUCUUUACGGGCGUGCGCCACAAAAUAGCUUUAAAUAAUCCUCUGUUUUGAUAAUUACUUUUUACCUAUAUCUUCUCACCUACAGUUUUUCUUUUGUCCAUUUUGUUGGUAAAGUACCUGCAAAAAAAAUAAACGAGAGAGGAUUUAUUGAAUCUGGGUUUGAUCUCAAAUCGAAAAUACACUAGGAUUCGUUCAUUUUUCGAUGGUUUUUUAACCUGGGAAGAGUUAUUUUUGGGUAUUUUUGUUCAUUUUUUUGGUGAUAAAAAUAGCAGGAGAAAGUGAAACUUGGAAGAUAUGGCGUCGCAUUUUGAUAGGUGGGAGAAAGAUCCGUUCUUUUCAGCUGCAGAAGAGGUUCAAGAAUCUGCCGACAGAAUGGAAUCAACUUAUAGGACGUGGAUUCAUGCGUUGAAGGAUACUUCUGGUAGUUGGAAUUGUGAUGCGCUUCGCAGGGACCUUAGAACUACCCUUGGCACUGCUAAAUGGCAGCUGGAGGAAUUUGACCGGGCAGUUAGAUCGAGCUACAAUAGUAAAUCUGCUGACGAUGCAAGAGAUAGACACCAUGAAUUUUUUAUUGCAAUCGACAGCCAAAUUAAGAAAGUUGAGAAAUCUCUUAAUGAAUCAGCUGUUUCACAAGGCAAACCACCACUUCCAUGGGUGAGGUUGGAUGAGGGAGAAGUCGAUGAACUUGCUGCAUUUCUCUCUGGCCCAUCCACCUCUUCUGCAGGGAUAAACCAUGCAAAAGUACAUGGAGUGGAGCUGCAAAUUCCCAAGUGGGAAGAGGCUGUAAAUCAGUCACUUCCCGAGUGUUCUGAGAAUCCUCUUCAUUCAGAGGAUGGUGUUCAAGGUGAGGCCAUAGACGAGAAGUUUCUGGGCCACCGGAGAACAGCAAGUGCUAGUGCUGACAUUGGUGCAUGGCAGAUUGCACUUGGCAAUGAUAUUUCCAUCAAAGAACCUGCACCCCCUCCUCGCAGAAUACCCAGUUACCAGGGAUUGUUGAAUGCCGUGGAAUCUGUUAAGGAGCUAAAAUGGCCCAAGAAUGGUUACAGGAAGCUGAAGUUCAAUCAAGAAACUGACAAUACAUUGCCGCGCACUCAGCCACCAACAAGGAACAUAAACACAUGCUAUGAUAGGAAUAAGAGUUGCCUUGAUGGUUGUGAUGAUUGUUAUGAUAAGCAACUGUAUGGUUGGUAUGGUGCUGUUCAGCGCCAGCUGCAAAGAUCUCAGUAUUACAUGCAAUAUCGUCGACCUGUUCGAAUAGUUUUCUCAGUGUUUCUUCUCAUUUUCCUGAUUGCAUCUCUCCAGCAAGAAUGAUUGGAGACUUCAACAAAUGAUUCAGGUUCAUGUGAAGAUUGAGCUGAGAUGAGUUCUAGUGGCAGUCCGGACAAUCUGAGAGAUGAACCUUUAUUCUUGUAAUUGAUGAACUUGCAAUGUCGAGACGGUCAGAGGAAAAAGGGCCUCAGUUUUGGUAUUACCUUAUAGAGGAAAGGUGUAAAUUACAUGUAAUUUUGUUCAGGUGAUGCAAAGCUGGUGCUAUUAUCUCAACAUACUUUGUAGUAAUACCUUAUCACCAUUAGUGGAGACCAAAUUAUGUUGUAUUAUGAUAUUUCGUCCAUCAGAAACAACCUUUCUACCUCUAAGGUAAGGGUAAGGUGUGCGUCUCCUCCAAACCCCAUUCUGUAGGAUUACACUGGCUAUGUUGUUGUAUACAGAAAUGAAAGAGAUGAUUAGGUCUAUUUGACUUGCUAAAUCAUGUAUAUUAUUGUAUUACUGUAAUUCACUUCUGGGUUUAAAGUU